UACGGAGGGAGCUAGGCGUUGUUCGGAAUUACUGGGCGUGAAAGCGCACGUAGGCGGCUAUUCAAGUCGGGGGUGAAAGCCCGGGGCUCAACCCCGGAACAGCCCUCGAAACUAGAUAGCUAGAAUCUUGGAGAGGUCAGUGGAAUUCCGAGUGUAGAGGUGAAAUUCGUAGAUAUUCGGAAGAACACCAGUGGCGAAGGCGACUGACUGGACAAGUAUUGACGCUGAGGUGCGAAAGCGUGGGGAGCAAACAGG
rnacentral:rRNA from 1 species